UCCUCACCAGACGCCGCCCCUCUCCUGACCUUCUCCCGAGUGGCAUGGCCUAGGCAUUACACAGGCGCGGCCACCACUUGGCCGCACGGCGUCCUGGCCCUCACACGCAGCAGCAGCCAACUCCUUCCGUCCUGCCGGCCGUGCGAGGUGUUGAAGGGGGCACCUGAUCUUUGGCGUCGAGGACCUGCGGUGAGCCUUCACCGGACCUGCGGACGUGUUCGGAGGAGCGGCGCUAGAUCUGCAGCGGAGCUGCGCAGGCAUGUCCAUGAUGAUAGUGGUAUGGCCGCGCGCAGUAGACCAACGCAUCCAGCAUCUCCAACAUCGGACCUGUGGCAGAGCUGGAUUUUGAGAGAAAUAAAGAUAUACAGAAACUUCUGUACUGCUUGCUGCUGAUGUGACCAAAGACGGGCAUACAUAAGGCAAGGAAUAAGAGAUCUAAGUGUGGCUUGACCUGAAAUUGUCUGGUAGUUAUGGAAAGAUGGACCAAAAAUAGAUGGACAAAGAAUUUAGUUUGAAAAUUUGCCUCUUUAUUAUUAGGUGUAGAUAUAGAUUUGUAUCUUAUAGCAGCCUGGCCUGGUUUGGUGUUUGUUAUUUAUGCAAAUGUACCACAGUUGGUGACUUUGUAAUAUGAGCAUAUUGUCGUGUAUUUGAGUUGAUGUAUACGGGCUCGACAUUAUAAUAUAAUAAU